ensembl:lncRNA
UAAAGUCUUUGUCGUGUCGGAGUGUUGUUAUCGUUUACGACAGCUGUGGGUGAUUUGCGACAGCUGAGGCUGAUUUACGACAGUGGUAGGUUACAAAGGUAGCCGCUUCUCCUGGUUCGGGGGAGAAACCUGCCGAAGGGAGAUGUAAAUACAGACAGAGUCAGGAAAACAUGCAAGAGAAGAGAUACGACUGUGCCUUGAAAAAACCUUCUAGGUUGGACGAUGGAAGAACUGGGAAAGAAGCCAUCCACCUGCAUCCCUGAUCCCUGGACCGGUCCUCCAGGGAGUGAGACCCUCCUCUGGAAACUCAAAGACUGCUUCUCCUCCUUUGAGAAGGCCAACUCCAGCUUCACCCAACAACAAACCAUGGAGGGCAGGGCGCCUGUGCUGGAGCUCAGAGACGUCCCCCCUCCCCAUCACGUGUCCUCUGCCCCCCCUCCCAGCCCCUCCCC